AUAGGGUCUACAUUAUGCAUGUUCACAGCGCUCUAUAAAUUUAAUGAAAUUAUAUUAUUAUUAUUAUAAAAUGUUUGCUUUAUAUUUUUCCUGUUAUUGAAAUAUUUGAAAAAACACGAUGAAUGGAUCCAACAGUGUUGAACAAAGUCUAACACUACAAAGUUGACAUACAACAUUACUUAGACGUUAGGAGUACAUGAAAACAUUUGUUAGUUUCUACUUAGAAUGUAGGUUAAACACGGAAGUGUCAGUAAGAGCAACAUGGACGUCGUAGCAGCAGUUGUACCAUUUCCAGCAACAGA